CUGAGACCACAACCUGAGCCAAAAUCAAGAGGCAGACGCUCAACUGACUGCGCCACCCAGGCGCCCCUGGGUCAGCUUUUCUAAGGGGAAUUAUGGAAAGGUGUCUUGCCCUGCAAAGCUGAUCAAUAAGCAGACAAAAGCAGAACACAAGCCAUCUGCGUUGUAGACUGUGUGGGUUCUGUUCAUGCCAAAUGCUUCUCCAAGCCUUCCCAAACACCUGGGAUUAAACAGGUUGAAGUCCCCCUCCCCCAUAUGACCCCAGCCAGGGUGUGGCAAAGCCCAGCAGCGCUCCUUCCAGACAUUCUGAUCUUCCUCACCGCACUGGCUGUGGGACAGCUCGGCUUUGUGGUUUUACUGAACCCCAACCUGCUCGCCUCAGGGCUCUCGGGUCCUUCACCGGGAGCCAGAGCACUUGCGACCUGGCAGGGAAUAGAAAACAAAGCCUGCCCUGACCCAGACGGGAGAAGGAGGUGUGCAGCAGGAAACGGCUGCCCUUACCGGUGGUCUGAACCCAGGGGAGUUUGCCUCACGGAAUCACACUUAAUGAGCUGCCACCUCUGGGACCUGCUGCUUCGUGUCUGACCCCCCAGGUCAGACUGAAAAAUGACUGUGAGCCCUUUUCUGUUUUCGCAUCCCUGGGAUCACGCUGAGCGCACAGGGAUGCUCAGAGAGAAGCCACAUUCGCUCUGUGUCACCUUCGGGUUAAAAGUACUUUCAAAGCCACGCUCUGGGAUGGCCUGCUUUGUACUUACCAAAUAGCAGGCUUCGCAGAGUCAAAUGACAAGAGGGGUCAGUUGAAAAUCUAACCUUAUCAGGGACCUGGUUGCCAAGGGACCUUUCCAUGCAGAUUGCAGAUAACUAACUCAGCGGAGAGCUGAGACUGAGAAAGGAAUUCAGGUAAGGAAAAUCUUCCUGCUGAUUCAGAAAAAGGCAGUCUCAAGUUUAGAAUAUUCUGGAAAUUCCACACGUUACUAUAAUUUACUCUCCUUCUCUCUCUCCCUGCAGACUACAAGGAAACAGGGCUAAGACUCAAACAAAAACACAAGAAACCAAAGCCUUCUUCUGAGAAGUUGUAAGAGGCCAGGAGAGGUCCUUAAUUAAACAUCAGAGAUCAAGGCGGGAGAAAAGCUCCCGACCAGGGCUCUUGACAGAUCCCAUCAGAUUUGGCACACAGCUAAGAAAGUUUAAUCAGGGUCGAUGAAUUCUGCCCGAGCCGCAGGCGGACCAGGAUUACAUGAGCUAAAGGACAGCAGCACUAGUAACGCAGAUGCCAGUUCAUGCCUCGGUGCCGCCAUUUCUUUGCGUUGAACCCCAACCGCAUAGCCUAUUUAAAUAUAUUUUUUCUUCUUUGUUCUUGAUUAUUUUAACAAAAAGCUCUAUUUUAACUUACUGAAAGAACACCAAUGCCAUUAGAAAAGCACACUUCAGGUGCGCCUGGGUGACUCGCUUGGUUAAGUGUCUGCCUUCGGCUCAGGUCAUGAUCCCAGGGUCCUGGGAUCGAGCCCCGCGUUGGGCUCCCUGCUCAGCAGGGAGUCUGCUUCUCCCUCUGCCUCUCCCCUGCUUCGUUCUCUUUCUCUCAUUCUCUCUUUCUCAAAAAAAAUAAAUAAAAUCUUUUAAAAAAGGAAAAGAAAAGCACACGUCAGUUCCUAACGCUUUCAGGCAACCAUGCAAUUCAAGCCCAGCUAUCUGGUGACCGGUUUGUUGUAAGCACAGGCGAGGGACCUCAGAGGACCCAGAUGAUGCCUGAGGUACUGGUGAUGUGAACCCACGGAGCUCUGGUAAGUGCUCUGAUGCUUGACCAAUACUUAUGAAGAAACCCCACCCAGGAAGGGACUAGAUGUAAAAGCCUGAAAACACCGACAGCCAAUGUUCUAACGACAAGUGAAUGAGCAGUGAGGGGGGAUGAGACCCAGCGUUACCCUGGGGCGAUGCUCGUGAGCUUGGGCAACAGUGGGGGUAAAGGGUCCAGGCCGAAGGGCCAGCGGGAGGCCCGAGACUGCGGGCAGAUCCCGCUCCCCCGGCUCCAUUUGUUUAGAUGGAAGGGAUGACGGGAAUGUCCCCUCAAAUCCUCAGCUACACAAACCACUCCACCUUCAGCGGGGGGCAAAGAUGUCCCGAGCCCUGUGAGGCGGGACCCCGUGGAGCGAGAUUCUUGGGGCGCUGAGAUACCCUGGGGCAAUUCCUUUGGCUCCAAGAGGUAGGAAAGGAAACACUGGGGUCCCGACAAAGAGAUCGCAAAGCACCCUGUGUCCGAAGCGCUUAUACCCGUGUGCCCCCCACAUUUCCGGCCCUCGGCUCCAUGAGGCUCUUCGCGUGGCUGAGAGCAGAGCUGCCAGGUGCUGUCUCCGGACUGAAGCCUGGAGGAGGGGCCUCGGACAUACCGGCUCUCUCUGUGUCGCCCCGGUGGCCGCAGAGGCCACACGCGGACAUGCCAGGGCAGGACGUGGAGCAGAGCUCCCCCGCCAGCCCGAGUCACACCCUAACAAGCCUGCUAGGGAUUCCUACAGGGUAGCCCUGUCAGGCCUACCCGACACAUCCCACACGCCUGGUUCCUGGUCAGUCCCGGCAGUCAGGCUAGAAGGCCACAGAGCCUCUCCCCGUGAUUCUGGGGGGACCUUGAAGAAAUCGCUCCUCUGCUCUGGGUAUCAUUUCCUCAUGGGGAAACUUAAGAGUUGGGUGAAACCGCUGCUUGAAAGGUGUGCAUAUUUUAAGGCCUUUGGAACACAUUCCUCAAGCAGCCUCCAGGAAAGACAUUCUGCUGGCAGUAAGGUGGGUGCCAGCCGCCUUGACCUUGACCUGAAAAUGCAGGACAAGCAAAUAGAGAGGCUGUGAGUUGGGGUGGAGUUUGUCAUGUCAGUUUGACAAAUAUUUUCCAGCCCCCAGGCUGGGUGUGGGCAUGCAGAGGUGGACAGACACGUCCCUGCCCUUGGGGAGCUCUGUCUGCUGGGAUAGACAGAACACUGUCUAGAGGCGUGGGCAAAGCUGGGGCUCCCUUGAAAGCUACAAGCAGGUUUUGAGCUGGAAAGUGUCUUUCCUGAGUCCUUUCUCUUUGAGGCACCACACUCACUUCUACGGAGUCCCCCAGAUUCCACCAGUUGUCAUCAGCUUACCUGGCUCUCAAGGGACAGCGACGUUUUUUGGUUGUACAUCAGCUGACACGACUUUCUGCCACCUUCCUUGUCCCAGCCACUUUCCUUUAGCCGUGGGGGAGUUUCUAUGGUGCUUGUUGGUAUCUGCCCAGCUCCCUACCUGGCCUUCUCAGGUGCACGGGUAGGAAAGCCAUCACAGCGGCCUCAUCUGGGGAGCCUAACAGUAGGUAUCCAAGGCCUUAAAAUAGGCAUACCUGCUCGCCCAGGCUUUAGGAACGAUCCUAAGGAAGUAAGCGUGAAUAUGUGAAAGAUUUAUCUACAAGAUUAUGCGUGAGAGCCUUGUUUAUGAGAUGGGAAAAAAAAAUCAUCAAAAAGGAUUUAAAUUUUCAACCAUAAGAGAUAGGUUAAAUAAUUUAUGGCAUAGGUUGCACAAUGCUAGCAUCAUAAAUUACAUUAUGGAAGAAUACUUAACGACAUGAAAAGAAAGUUGAAGACAAUUGAAAAUAUUACAUUGCAAAAUAAUAUGCCUUGGUUGAUCGUAUUCAUGAUAGCAAAAAGUAUCUGUGCACAUCUAGCAAGACACAAGAAAGAGGGAAAAGUCAUGCAUAAAAAAUAUAGAACAUUGGUGAUUCCAGGGUAGGGGAAUUAUAAGAAAUUUAAAGUAUCUUCUCUGGAUGUUUUCUAGACUUGUUCAUUACUUGUAUAAUCAGAGUAAAAGAUACUUUAUGUUUUCAAGUGUAAUAAAGUGACAUCUUCCUGGGCACAGGACAAGACAUGCCCAGGCAGGGGCCAGGUGCUAGGGAGCCACAUUUCUGGGAGCAGGCCCAGCCCAGGAGGGUCCUCCAGAGCUCCCGGGUGCUAGACCAUGCUGCUUAGCGGUGCCACGCAGCAACCCCACUCACGCAACGUCCUGCAGAAAUGUGCUUGGCAGCCAUGCCUCAGCCCUGGGCACACAGGUCUUCCCGCCCUUCAGCCUCACGACAGGCCACGAUGGAACAAACCAGGACUCGGGCCCGCGAGCCCCAUCAAGGCAGAAUGCAUGGAUUUUCUGGUCACUUUGUUCCAUUCAGCUGAGCAAGCACAUUUGAACUCCUCUCCCCAACUGCUCAGCCCGUACAAACCCGGAGCCUUCUUCAGGGAGCCUUCCAGACUGACCCCACCCCACUGUGCAGCGUGCUCUGAAUGGCCCUGCGCUCGUUAAUAAGUACUAUUUGUAGAGUGGUAUCCGAGUGCUUUGCCUGAAGGAGCACAAGCUGCGCUCACAACAUCCCUGUGAGCCGGCACUGCAAUGCUCUCGUCACAAACCAGGAGGCAGGGGUAGACGGAGGCUGAGUGACUUACCCCAAAGCCCGUGCUAAUAAAUGGCAGAGUCAGGAUUCAACCCCGGGCGGUGUGGCCCUCAGGCCAGCCCUCAGAGACACCAUGCCACACAGGCCCUCUGGCAGACAAUCGAUGUCGCCAGUCAUGUUUCCAUGGUGAUUUUGAAUUGUUCCAGAUUGUUCCUGGAAGACUGAAUUCCUCAAGGGUCCCUGAGGAGGUGCUGCACGCCCAGCAUAAUUGCUACUCUAACGGCAGGGGAAGGGGGCGUGUCCCCCUGAGCCAACCUCCAGCUGCUGGAGACAGGUCUACAGACGAUUCUGCAAGGAGCCUGGUAAGGCACCUCCUUCAGGGACCGACCCCUGCGCUGAAGACCCUGGAAGCCUCAGGGUGCAUCCGUGCUCAGCCUUCUGCCGGGCCCGAAGGCUUCUUACUGUCUCUCAGCAGCAUGUUCCCAAACGCCUGUUCAGUCCCCAGGUUCCUGCGGAGGGUCCAGAUCUACACAGGAUUGUAGCCCAAGUCCUUCCACUCCAGCUGGGAGGAGAGAUUCGGGGAGAGAAAGAGCACGCAGCCCAGAGCGCAAGCCUGUUGGAGUCGACCUCUUGGCUGUCAUUUCUUUCUUCAGAGUUUCCAGGCUGGAUUCCAGCCCAGGAUGGGAGAGGCUGUUACCACGUCUGGGCAAAUCAGCACAACCAUAUUAACAGGGUUAUCUCAGCGUGGCAGGGAUUAGGGAUGGCUUUUUUCGUGGCUUUGCUUCUUUGCAUUUUCUGAUUUUCUGCAGUGAACAUGAUUAUUUGGGCAAUUAAAUAAUUAAAGGCAGGGGGCAGUGGCGGUUCUGUUCUUACUGCGCCCUUCCCAGGGCUCUUCCCCUGACCCUCUGUAGACUGCUGAGCUCCAGGACACCCUCUACUUUGUGGGGCUUCCUCCAAGCUUCUCCUGACCUUUACCCCAGCAACCCCUAUUCUUUCACACACACACGCCCCCACUGCACACCACGGGAACCUUAUAGGUUACAGAGUAUUUCACAGUUUCCAGCCUCCUGCUCCCCACAACCCCCAUGUCUUUCCUGUCUUUGAAGAUGAUGCCUGGAACCACGUGUCCAUCCUUGGCCCCUCACGUGGACUUCAGCCCCCAAUUCACUGCCAGACAUCUGCAACCGGAUGUCCCAACAGUCACGGUCACAAGCACCAUGGCCCCAGCCUGCUCUCUCCCCUCCACGCCCGGGUACCUCCCAUUCUCCUCUUCUCUGACCGCAAUCACUAACUGGUAGGCUUAUGGAAUCAAGGCUGCUUUUUCCUCCUGGGGUUGGUCAUUCAGUGAACAGGGAGGGCUGGUGUUCUGGUCUUCAAAAUGUCUCUUGGGUCUUCUCCUGUCACCCCACACCCCACACAGGCUCCAGAACUAUUGCAGAGGUCCAAGAAUCUUAUUCAUUUUUUCAUCUCCGGGAUCCCCCACAGGGCCCAGCAUAUGUAUGCUGUCUGUAUGUGCUUCCUGGUUAAGUGAAUAAAUGAACAAAUGGGAAAAAAAAAUCUUUUCUAAUUUGUCUCCUCAAUUUUAGUUUUUUCCUUGCAAUCCUUCCUAUAUUUCUCUGCCAGUUGAAUCUCCCCACAUGGUGACUCGGCCAUGUGAACCCUUCACGUGCUGCCUUUAAUGGCUCCCAUUCUAUCAAGGUCCUCUCAAAAUCCAGCCCCUCUUUACCUUCCUUUGUAAAGGAUUUGAUCUCUCUCCCUGAGUCUCUCCUCCAGCUGACCUGGCCUUCAGAUGCGAUCCCAUGGAAGGUAGCAGACCUCGUGGUGGGCUGUUUGUCCACCUGGGACACUGUCUGGCUCUCCAGCCCUGCUUCACUUCACCCCAACCUGCAAGAGGGCACCACCAGGGGCUCUGCAAAGCACUGGGCUCUGUGAGGCCACCUUCAGACCCAGCGCACCCUUGCCAGCUGGCAGCUCUUGGCUGACAUCAGCACAGAACUACAGGGGACACCUUGACUGACAGCUGUGGCAUCCAAUGACACCACUUGCUGGGCAAGUCCUUUGAUGAUUCUAAAGCUCAGGCCUGUAACACAGAAAUGAGACCCGCCCCACCUCUUUCUGUGGGUUGCUGUCAAAAUCAAAUGGGAUCAUGGAAGUGCUUUGAAAAAGAAAAAGCAAUAUUCAAAUAUAAAAUGCUAGAUUACCUUUUUUUUUUGUGAAGGUUGUCAGGGCUCAAACAAAAAAGAUUUUUCAGUUUUACCAUUUAAUAAUAAAUCAAGUCUAUCAGAAGCUUGAUAACACACCAGAGCUGGAUACAGCAAGCGCUAUCUCUUGUGUACCCAAGAGCCAUUUCUACUCUCCUUCCAAGCUCAUGGAACCCUAAUUCUUUCAGGUAAGGACAGAGCUUUCCUUCACCCACCUUGAUCUGCCUCAGCCCCAGGGGGAGACUUAUGAUUGGUCUAAAUCAGUAUGGCAAUCACAUUCUACUAUGCCAGUCAUUGGUCUAGGGGUGGGCGCAAGUCCCAGUUCUGGUCAAUGAGAAAUAAGGGAAAAUGUGACUUCCCUGCCCCAACUUGAAACAGAAUUUCAAGAAAAGAAAACCUUUUGCCUCUGUCUUACUGGGCAAUCAUGUGAGGACAUGAUGCCUGAAGGGGUAGGAUCCAUCUUGCAACUGUGAAGCAAUAAAGCAGAAGGACACAAUGGAAGAAUAGACGAUCAGAGGGAGCAGGAUUCUCUCCUCCUCCUCCUCCUUCUUCUUAAGUUUUCCUUCUGGAUUUUAUUACAGAGUCAAACAAAGCACAGUCAGAUGAGGAAAUGGAACAUUUAUGUGUGAAUGUCUUAGCCAGAAAAACUGUAACUCAACCAACAAAAUAUGUUCAUACAUACAUCUCUGCAUCUGUGAUCCAGGCACGUUUACAAGGAGCAGGAGCCUUGAUGACGUCACUGAGCUACUACGGCACCUGCCCUCCUCCAGGCUUCUGGUUAUGAGAGAUAACCAAACGCUGUUCAUGCGGAAGUCCCUGUUACUUGUAGCCAUUUGCAUAUGUAAAUUGUGCAGUCUCUACAGAAUGUAACUUGGCCAUGUAUUUGUAUUUGAAUGUACAUCCCCUCUGACUCAACAGUGCUGCCACGGAAUUAUCAGAAUUUCUCCCACAGACAUACUCACACAUAGUCAUCUCUGCACCCAACGUGGGGCUCGAACUCACAACCCCGGGAUCAAGAGUCGUGCGCUCCACCGACUGACCCAGCCAGAAGCCCUGUAAUUGGAUUCUUUCCAGUUCACAAAAUAGAAUUAUUUUCCUGCAUCAUUAAAUAUUAUC